rnacentral:lncRNA from 1 species
CGGGAGGCUGUCAUGGAUCGGGCCCGGGCGGUUUAAUUCGCGUCACGGCCCUCGAAUUAUUAGCGCUAGUUUACGAUUGAUGACACGUUCUUCUCCUCCUCGUCGAUCAGGAGGGAGACGUCUAAAUAAUAAUAUCUCCCGCGCGCUGAACUACGCAUUCAGUUUUGACAAACGGCCUGUGGCGUUGAAACGAUGCAUCUGUAGAUCUGAAUAAGCUACAGCCUACUACACACAUGUACGUGAAAGAGGUUGACGUGACAGUGAUCAAGAGGGAAGAGCCACCGAUCCAUC